AUUGAACGCUGGCGGCAGGCUUAACACAUGCAAGUCGAGCGGGGUGAUGGUGCUUGCACUAUCACUUAGCGGCGGACGGGUGAGUAAUGCUUAGGAAUCUGCCUAUUAGUGGGGGACAACAUCUCGAAAGGGAUGCUAAUACCGCAUACGUCCUACGGGAGAAAGCAGGGGAUCACUUGUGACCUUGCGCUAAUAGAUGAGCCUAAGUCGGAUUAGCUAGUUGGUGGGGUAAAGGCCUACCAAGGCGACGAUCUGUAGCGGGUCUGAGAGGAGGAUCCGCCACACGGGGACUGAGACACGGCCCAGACGCCUACGGGAGGCAGCAGUGGGGAAUAUUGGACAAUGGGGGGAACCCUGAUCCAGCCAUGCCGCGUGUGUGAAGAAGGCCUUAUGGUUGUAAAGCACUUUAAGCGAGGAGGAGGCUCUUUUGGUUAAUACCCAAGAUGAGUGGACGUUACUCGCAGAAUAAGCACCGGCUAACUCUGUGCCAGCCGCCGCGGUAA
rnacentral:rRNA from 1 species